CUUGGAGCAGCUACAUUGUAUAAAAGGAGAGCUCAGGCUCCAUUAGGAGAGACUACCAGGGAGCUGGAACCAAAGAGGAAAGGCACUCUCUAAUCCUGAAUCCAGUCAAGCUGGAGCUGCAGAGGUUGGUGAAAACUUGCCAGAGCCAAAAAACAAAAAAACAGCACAGGAACCUGUUUUAAAGGGGAGAAGGGAUUGCUCUGAUGCACUGUUCUUGGAGCAAGGAUCUAUGAAACUCUUUGUAAACUGUAUGGAUUGUUGGCUGGGCACCCUAUUGGAUCUGAGGAUGGUGAGCUAUGAAAGGAAUUGAACGUGCUGUCACUGACUGACCAGUGAGCCAGUUCAUUAACAAUCCACUGCUAUUGUGCUGAACACUGAGGAGAAGCGGAGUUAUACUGAAAAGGAGUCAGUUCAGUACUGAUAUGAAAGUGUCCAAAUGGGUACAACCUGAUAAAGCCAUACACAGUAUUUUAUCAGGCAACAAUGUUUUAAAGCAGAAUAACAACCUUAAACCAGGUUAAAUUAAUGGGGAAAAAAACCUCCAAGCGAGAAGGUACCUGGCAGUUCACACUCCAUAUUUACACGUGCUCAUUUAUUAUUUGUUUAUUUAGCAGACGCCUUUAUCCAAAGCGACUUACAGAGACUAGGGUAUGUGAACUAUGCAUCAGCUGCAGAGUCACUUACAACCACCUCUCACCCGAAAGACGGAGCACAAGGAGGUUAAGCGAUUUGCUCAGGGUCACAUAAUCUAUUGUGUCAUGACAUAUUUCAAACCCACACUGAUACUCCUCCUUUAGAACCGUGAGUAUAGCACUGGAAAGUUCGGAUUUCAGAGAUUCUGAUGCUAAUUCAGUAGUGAUGGGCAGGUAUAAUGGUAUGAGUGUGAGGAAAGAGAACCCUGGUAUAAUGUAACCUGCUUGACACAAGAUACAGCAUUUCUAGCAAGCUAUGAAUUUGUUUUCUGACAAUCUGUGUCUCCAGAACAGGUUUGUAAGCACCCCCUUAAUUAGUCUAUUUCCCCUCAUUUCUCUUUUCUCUGUAAUUAUACGUCUAAUUAGAAUUAUUUUUUAAUUAGUUGCAUUCUUGGCAUCUUGCUUUUGUGGUUACAAUGUAGUGUAAUAUAUCUCCGCCGACAAACUAGUUUCACGAACGCAGCUGGUGAAAACAGAAAACAACACUCAUUUUAUCAGAUCCACAUUUAAAGGUUAAGAUUCGAAUCUCCUUGGUUUUGCUUCACUGUCACUUUUCCCACUGAGUUCAAGUGGACACCUGCAGGGAUGGCCUUUGUCCUCCAGGGGCUCGAAGUUUGCCGGCAGCCUCUCCCGGGCUCCUGGGUGUAAAAGAGUCGAUCAACUUGAUCAUGGGAUCGGAGGAAAUCCAUUGACCUUCACUUCUCCUCAGCUGUUUUGGUGCCCACUAAAAUAAAAAGCAAAAUGAAUAAAUAAAAAGGAAGGGGUAUGAGCACUCGUGUUUUUCAUAUAUUUUGGCGACGCAAAAUCAUCUAUUUAGUGAGAAGCUUGCUUUGAAACGCAGCGAUUUUCUGGGCUGCCUGUUUUAUUUUUUUAAAGAGAAGUCUGUGCCAUUUGAAUGGGAAGAUUUAAAAUGGGCUAAACUGGAGAAUCUCAGGUGCUAAGUGAGAGGAUUGCUCUUUGGUAGUGCUUGAGGUUUGUAUUUGAGAUUAUUUAAAAACAUAUCAUGCAAGCUUCAAUACUAUUCUUAAUCUUAACUCCUUAGUUUGUAAUUGCCCAUGGACAUGCAAUACAUUUCAAAGCAGCUUGAAGCAAAACUUGUCCAGGAUUUGGUUUAUGUUGAGAAUGCUUGGGCAAUGCCUGGCUUGUACAGCUAAUUGGUGGUAAUAAUACAAUGCCACAAAUGUUUGAUUCAUAAUUAUAUUUGUAUAAAUUUGUAUAUAUCUACGUAUUGUUUCCCAGGUCCCUCAUGCAAACAAGCGGUC